rnacentral:lncRNA from 10 species
CAACUCUAGCAGAAAGGGGGCUUCCAAGUCACAGGAAAUUAGGAUCAGCUCUUGUCCAGUUCAAGCUGACUCCACUGAGCCUCCAAUGGCCUGUAUGAAUGCCCAAUGAGUGCCCUUUUGACAUCAGAAGGCCAAAAACUCCACCCUCAGAUUGUGCCAACGACACCAUCUUGCGAACGUGGAUCCUAUGAAAAGCCAUGAAGCUUAACUGCACUCGCACAGAUCAGCAAUUACCUCACUUUUCCUUACCACCAAUUAACUUUUUCCAUGCAUUGGACUGCCUUGCUCCUUUAUCCCACAAAUAUCCCUAAUGCCCCAACUUCAAGGAGGAGAAUUUGAGGGGUGUUAUCCCACCUCCUCACUUGGCUGCCUCAUGAAUAAAAUCUUUUCUCCACUGCAAAACUCAUUGUCUCAGUGAUUGGCUUACUGCAGGAUGGGCAGAAUGUGCCUGGUUUGGUAUCAGAGGAAUGACUGCAAAGAGGCAUGUUCUAUAUCUUAA